rnacentral:rRNA from 1 species
GACGAACGCUGGCGGCGUGCCUAAUACAUGCAAGUAGAACGCUGAAAGAGGAGCUUGCUCUUCUGGAUGAGUUGCGAACGGGUGAGUAACGCGUAGGUAACCUGCCUGGUAGCGGGGGAUAACUAUUGGAAACGAUAGCUAAUACCGCAUAAGAGUAGAUGUUGCAUGACAUUUGCUUAAAAGGUGCAAUUGCAUCACUACCAGAUGGACCUGCGUUGUAUUAGCUAGUUGGUGGGGUAACGGCUCACCAAGGCGACGAUACAUAGCCGACCUGAGAGGGUGAUCGGCCACACUGGGACUGAGACACGGCCCAGACUCCUACGGGAGGCAGCAGUAGGGAAUCUUCGGCAAUGGACGGAAGUCUGACCGAGCAACGCCGCGUGAGUGAAGAAGGUUUUCGGAUCGUAAAGCUCUGUUGUAAGAGAAGAACGAGUGUGAGAGUGGAAAGUUCACACUGUGACGGUAUCUUACCAGAAAGGGACGGCUAACUACGUGCCAGCAGCCGCGGUAAUACGUAGGUCCCGAGCGUUGUCCGGAUUUAUUGGGCGUAAAGCGAGCGCAGGCGGUUAGAUAAGUCCGAAGUUAAAGGCUGUGGCUUAACCAUAGUACGCUUUGGAAACUGUUUAACUUGAGUGCAAGAGGGGAGAGUGGAAUUCCAUGUGUAGCGGUGAAAUGCGUAGAUAUAUGGAGGAACACCGGUGGCGAAAGCGGCUCUCUGGCUUGUAACUGACGCUGAGGCUCGAAAGCGUGGGGAGCAAACAGG